GAGAGGGCGUGGGAUUGGGGCGGAGGCUAAAGAAGAGGAAGGGGUAGAGGUAGAGGAAGAGGUUGGGGGUUUGCGGAGAUCCUGGAGAUCCGGUCGUCUUCUUCGCCGCCGUCGGAGGAGGAGAUGAAGAAGGUUGGGUUCCUCGCCGCGUCCAUCGCCGCUGCCGCCUCUUCGGCGGCCUUCGCAUUCGGCCUCGACCGCCGCGCCGCGGCCCACCUUUAUUCCUUCUCUUCGGACGAGGGAUCGCGUGGUUCGGGGAAGGAGGCGGGAUCGAGGAGGGGGGGAGGGGAGGAGAAAUUCGCCCCAAGAUUCGAUGGUUUGAGGUUCAUCGAGACGCUCGUCACGGCGCACAGAUAACGUCCGUCCGUUUAUCCGGCGGAUCCUGCGGUUAAUCGUUAAGAGUUGUUGAUGCCGUCAUCUGUGGCUUUUCUUUUUCCCUUUUUAUCUUAUUCUUCUUCUUUAAUUGGGAAGAAGAGAGAUUAAUCUGGUUUUCUUGGCAUAUGUAAAUAUAUAUCGUGUGAUUCGUAGCGUAGCGUGAGGAUGGCUACAAGUUUUGUUAGGUAUAAAGCGAAUGGCAAGUGAUUGGUCCGCAAGGCGGGUCCCAAACUCAGCCAACCCUGUUUUGUCCGUUACUGAAACAAAUCAAAUUUUUAAUGGCGUGUGCGAUUUUGAGCAACA